rnacentral:rRNA from 1 species
GACGAACGCUGGCGGCGUGCUUAACACAUGCAAGUCGAACGGAAAGGCCCUGCUUUUGUGGGGUGCUCGAGUGGCGAACGGGUGAGUAACACGUGAGUAACCUGCCCUUGACUUUGGGGUAACUUCAGGAAACUGGGGCUAAUACCGGAUAGGAGCUCCUGCUGCAUGGUGGGGGUUGGAAAGUUUCGGCGGUUGGGGAUGGACUCGCGGCUUAUCAGCUUGUUGGUGGGGUAGUGGCUUACCAAGGCUUUGACGGGUAGCCGGCCUGAGAGGGUGACCGGCCACAUUGGGACUGAGAUACGGCCCAGACUCCUACGGGAGGCAGCAGUGGGGAAUACUGCACAAUGGGCGGAAGCCUGAUGCAGCAACGCCGCGUGCGGGAUGACGGCCUUCGGGUUGUAAACCGCUUUCGCCUGUGACGAAGCGUGAGUGACGGUAAUGGGUAAAGAAGCACCGGCUAACUACGUG